AAGUUUUUCAGAAGUAUUGUCAGCUACCGAAGGCUGUGCUGUCAUUGCCACCACGUGUGAAAUGAUAAUUGCAGUUCUGACGGGAGGGGAGGUCACAGAUCACAAAGCCUUAUCUCUGGUCUGGCUGCCUCCCUCCGUCACACGUACUGGCUGCUGUGACCUUCACGCUGCGCCCCCAUCCUUCAACAUGACGAGUCCAGUGAGUUCUUUCUCUGUCAGACUGAGAGGCAGCACCUGUAAGGAAGGACGUGUGAGUGUCCCCAAGACAUUGGCAGCCAUUAGUUGAAACAUUCUUCCAUGCAUUUCUGAGUGCACAUCUGUUUUCUGUCCUGACAACGCUGGCAGAGUGUGUUCAUUGGCACCAGCUGCCUCUUCGCCCUGAGACCUCCAGGUGGGUGGAGAUUAGCUAAAGCCUCCCCAGGAUAUUGGGAUUUCCAUUGUCCUUUGCGGACCCUGUAUGUGCUGGUAAAUAUCGUUACUCCUAUGGCAAAUAUAGCAAGAAGGAACAAAUAUUUAGGAUGCUGCUCUCCUGAAUUUUUUUAAACCAAAUCUCAGACUCAUUAUAAGCACCAUUAUUAUUCUGUGAUGUUUCCUCGUUGACCUCCAAUCUGGACCUUUUGGUCCAUAAGUUUUCUUUCUGUACGGACUCAUUGAGCAAGCCAAACACAUGCACAGAAUCUUCUCAGCUCCCUGAAAUUUUAUUUCGAUGGUUUGUAUUUAAAAAACUAGAAGAUCUACACGUUUUAAUGAUGCAACUCACUGGUAUUUCACAAGUGACCACACCGGUGUAUGCAAUUCCAAGAUGAAGAAACAGGUGGUUGUCAGAAUUCCGGGUAUCUUCUUGUGUUCUCUCUAAGUCACUGUCCCCACAGGUAUAGUUUUCUUGGCUAUAUUUGUAGGAUUGUGAUGUUUGGGAAUAGGUUCAUAACUCUCCAAGAUUUGAAAGAUUAGAUCACUUUUCCCAUUUUGUAAUUGAUAUACAUGGAGUCGUACUGCCUGAAUGUGUAAUGAUGACUUAUUUCUCAUGCCAUAUGACUUUUGAAAAUUGAUUUGUAUUCUUGCGUAGUCUUGUUAGCAUUUUAGAUCUGCUGUAGAAGACUCCAUGGUGUGACUAUGAAAACAUUCACCGAUGGCUGGUCCUGUUAAUGGGAAGUGGGUAUUCCUGAGUUUGGACUACUAUGAGUAACGAGUAGUGCUGGUAUAUAAUUCUGUAACCAGUCUUUUAGGGAUACCAGACAAACUUUGUUGAGUAUAUUUAUAGCUGUAUAUUUGUUGGGACAUAGUAUAUCUAAGACAGCUAAAGUUUAUACUACCACACAGUUUCCAAAUUUUCAUGUUUGCCAGUAGUUUCAAGAUUCUUGGUUGAUCCACAAGUUUGCAAAGACUUGUUGUUUCUCUCAUUCUCCUUUUAUUCUUUUUUUUUAAGUUUGUUUAUUUUAGUAAUUUCUGUACCCAAUGUUGUGUCUGAACUCACAACCCUGAGAUCAAGAGUCUCAUGGUCUUCCACCUGAGCCAACAAGGCACCCCUGUCCUCCUUGUUUUAGAUUUUUAUGUUGUGUUUGAUGGCACCAGGCGGUAGUGUCAUAUUUGAAAUUAUGUGACUACUAUAGACAUAGAACAUUUUUACACCUGUAUUAUCUAUUGCGUAACCUCUUAUUUGAAGUUUCUGUUGGAACGGUUUGUCCAUUGUUUAUUCUAUUGUGUGGUCUUCAGGAAUUCUUUCUGCUGGUUACAGAUUGUGUGUGUGUGGUGGGGAUGUUUGAAUGAGAACCACCCAUUCAUGUAAUACAAAGUCAUUUUACUGGCAUGGUUAAUGUGCUCUGUGCUGUUCAAGAAAUAUUUUCAUGUUCUAAGGUAUAGACAUUUUUUUUUCUUUUUCAGGAUGAAUCCAUUGUACCUUUAAGAUUUAAGCAAUCCAGUCAGACUUAAUUUGUUUUAGGAAGUGAUAGUGAUCAAGUUUUCCUUUUUCCAAUAUAACUUGCACAUUUCAG
ensembl:lncRNA